GGCAGAGGUCGCUCAGUGGUUAAGACGUUGGACUUAGGACCGGUAGGUCGUGAGUUCAAAUCCCAGCUCCGCCA